UUUGCCCGGAAACCGGGAAAGGGAAUAACACUCCAAAUGUAAAUAAGAAACACUCAAGUUAAUAAAAAAAAAAAGUGUCUCUGAAGGCUAAGGUGACAGACAAAUGCCAGCUCUCUCACCUCUAAUGAUGCUUGACCACACUGUGAAUCUCACAGCCCUUGAGUUUCUUGAAUGUCAGGCCAUCUAUGUGCUAGAACUUGCAGUUGUGUUUCUUUAAAUCAUUUUAAAUGGAUAGAUAUAUCUAAGAAGCAAAAGGAGAGUGCAGUAGGAGCUGUGCUUGUAAUCUUCAGUUUCCCUGUGUCUCUUUUAUUUACUAAGUAAUUGUCUUAUGAAUCACAUCAUCUGUGGCUAAUCUUUAAAGCAUUGAAACAAUAUGCAGUAUUUACUAUAUGAGCACAGCACAAUUUGUGAAUAUCACAAUAUUAACUCUGUAGUGCUGGUAGUUUUUGCUCAUGGUACUAUUUUCCAUCUGUUAACUAUACAGUCAUUUCAUUAUUUUGGUAGAACAGAAAUUUGGAAUAUUUUAUUUACUACUGUAUCGCAGGCAUAUAGAAAGUGUUAAAUCAGCAUUUACUACUUACAGUUCAUCGAUUUAUUAAAGUACUUUAUAUCAAAUGUCCACUAUUUCAGAGGGGCAUAUGUAUGGGUAUAUAUAUAUAUAUAUAUAUAUUCACAUUUUAUUGAUAUCAGAAUGAACAUAUUUAAUUUCAGAUAAGAGAAAAUUGAAAUAUAUAAAUAUUUUAUAUAUUUAGUCAUAUAUUAAAAUGUAUUAUAAUAGAGAAUUUAGGUGAUAUUUGAUUUAAAGGCAGAAUUAAUCUUUUAAAGGUCCAGUGAUACCUUCCAAGCAUAUAAUUGCACUUUAUAUUUUUUAAACUCCUGGGUUCUAUUCAAAUUUAUUUAAUAACGAUUCAAAAAAUUGGACUUGAUUGUGUUUACAUAACAUAGUAACUUAUCUACCAAUCUACUUGUAUACAUCCUUGGUCCUCAGGAUGAUUUUAAGAACAUCUUUAAUUGUAUUAUUUUUUUUCCAAAUAAACCAUAAAUACAGACUUACUAUCAAAUCUUUCAUAAGAGUAACAGGUGGUCCUGAUCUGGUGUUAGUGCAGUUGAAAUCAUGUGUUGAAAUAAUUGCAGCCUGGAAAGAUAGAAAACAUCUGGACUUUAGGGGAGAACCAUUCUAUCAGAGAGAGAGAGAGAGAGAGAGAGAGAGAGAGAGAGAGAGAGAGAGAGAGAGAGAGAGAGAGAGAGAGAGAGGGAGAGGGGGAGGGAAGAGCAGAGACAGAGACAGAGAGACAGAGAGGGACAAAUAUGGUGAGACACAGAGAGGCCACAUGCAAACAUUUCAUGCUAUGUGGAAAAGUGUGGCAGGGCAGCUUGUGCUUCAAACUCUGUGAACAAGAGUGUGAACAGUUUGUUUCUUAGAUCUUUAAAGGUAGAGACCAGGAAACUCCAACUAUGGGAGAAAGAUGAGGCUUCUUCUGAAACAAUUUGCAUUCCCAAAGUUUGCCUUUUGUCUUCUAUGUGCUUGUGGGUGCACGUUAGACACAUAUUUGUCCUCCUGAAGUAAAAUUCAGUUUAGAAUUACAGUUGUCUUGUUCCUGGUUAUUGCUUUCUUGCUUGUUACCAUGUCCCUGAUUUCCCCCCUUGCAACAGUCUGACUUUGUGGAUCCAUUUGAAAGCAUGGAUGGAAGAGAGCUUUGGGGAAGCCUCAUGAUUUUUUGCCUAUAUUCCUAGACUACUUAGAAAUAGUCCUCUAUAAAUGCACAGGUUUUCUGUAUAAGCAUUAUCCGCCAUUAACAUAUCAGUACACAUGCAUUCACAAGAGUAUCCAAAGCACGGAUUGAAAGUCUGAGGAGGGGAAUAGUUUAAUGUGCAUUUUGAAAACUCACAGCAAGAUCCACCCAGUAAUUCUCAAGCCUGGCCAAGAAUCAGAAAUGUGUUGGAUUAUGAAACAGAUUUAAAAGCUCCAACCAAGAUAUCCUGAACCCAAAUUUUUAAGAUGUGAAUUUGAGAAUUCUCUUAAAAAAUUAUCUGUUAGAACAGUUUUAAGUUAAGAGCAAAACUGAACAGAAAGUACAAAGAGUUCUCGUGUGCUUUCUCCCCACACAUGCACCCCUUCCACUACUGGCAUGCCCAGCCUUGUGGUGCAUUCCUUAAGAGAUGAGCCUAUGUGGAUACAUGGCUGUUACAUCAAAGCCAUAGUUUUCAUUAGAGGUCAUCCUUGGUGUUUUAUGUAGGGCUUAGAUUAUGACACAUGUCUAACAGUAUAGUACCAUACAGAGUACACAGAAUACUCCCUCUGCUCUAAAACUCAUGCUGAGUCCUUUCUCUGUAGCUCCCGGUCCCCACUGAUCUUUUUGCUAUCUCCACAUUUCGAGCCUUUGUUCGGUCUUAUUGAUGGAAUCAUAUGGUAGUAUAUAGUAUUUUCAGAUUGACUUCUUCACUUAACAAAAAUAUAUUCUUAGAUUCUUCCAUGUCCUUGCAGGUUCAUGAUUUACUAACAAUCAUGCCUUCACCUGGAUGUGCCAGGGUUUAUUAAUUCCUUUCCUAAAAGUCAUCUUGAUUGUAUGCCAGUUUUGUGAUUAUGGGUAGGUAGAGUGAACAUUUGAGCUUGAGUUUCUGUGUGACCACCUUGCCACCUCCUCUGGGUAAAUAUCAGAGUCUGAUUUAUGAGUUCUACAGUGACCCUAUAUAUAUAGCAUUGAGAGACCCUGGCACAUUUUCUUAUAAGUGGUGGUACAAUUUUGCCUUCCUACUAGCAAGGAAUGAGAUAUCUCCUCGACAGCAUUUGGUGUUGUCAGUGCUUUGGUCAUUCCAAUAGAAGUACAGUAUACCAUUGUUUAGUUUAUGAGUCCUGAUAACAUAGAAUGUCGAACGUCUUCCAUAUGCUGUUUCACACAUUUUUCCUCUUCUUUCCCCUGCCCCUUCUGUUUUUUUGAGACAGGGUUUUUCUGUGUAGUCCUAGAUGUUCUAGAACUAACUCUAUAGACAAGGCUGACCUCAAAUUCAGAGAUCCACCUGCUUCUGCCCCACUUAUCACUCACCUCCCUCCCCACUCUAAGGGCUGGGAUUAAAUGCACCACUACCACCACCCAGUUUAUAUCUCUUCUUUAAUAAAAUGCUGAUUCAGGUUUUUCUCUCUGCAUUUUAGUGAGGGUCAUUUUCUCACUGAGUUAUAAGAGUUCUUUAUGUAUUUUGGGUAAUACUGCUCUAUCAUAUGAAUAUUUAAACUUUUCCUUCUAGUCUGUAUCUUGACUUCUCAGUCUCUUACACGCUGAAGAGCAGAGUUUUACGUUUUUAAUAAAGUUAUGUUUAUCACUUCUCUUAGGGAUCAUGCUUUUGGUGUUAGAUUUGAAAGGAAGGUCAUCUAGGUUUUAUGUUGCUAUCCUCUAGUAAUUUUAGUUUUUUGUUAUAUAUUUGGUCUAGGAAGUAUUUUCAGUUAAUUCUUAAUUAUCAUGAAGAUUGGAAGAUCUAUGUCUAGGCUUUUUUUUUCAGCACUAUUUUUGAAAGGACAAUAAUUUCUUCACUGUAUUAUGUUAACUGAUUUGUCAGCAUUAAGUUUGCUAUGUUUAUGUGUAUUUCUAUCCUGUUCUUUGAUCUCUUUUCUCACCAAUUGUCUCGCCUAGUGUAGCUGUCUCUAUGUUGACUGGUGUCAGCCAUGAGGCUUGGUUCUCCUUUAACACUGAGUGUUAUUGUUGAUUGCUUGCCUCUUGCAAAUACUUUAGAAUCAGUUUGUCAGGACUCACAGUCAUUUUUUGAUGAUAAUCUCACACAUUUAUUCAUGAUUAAAUUGCCAAAAAUAUUUACAGAAGUAGCUUUGCUGUUCUAGUUAUUUGAAACCUAUCAAAAUUAUUAGUCAAAGAAUGGGAGCAGUGCAAUGUUUAUUUUCUUACUAAUCCUAUCAGUAUUGUUUGAGAAAUCUUACCAACUGCAAUAAGACAAGAAAAAUUAAUAAAAGGAAUACAUAUUAGAAUGGAGAAAAUGAUCUUAAUCCACAGAAAAUAUGACCAUGUAUGCAGGCAUUACCAAAGAAUUAAAAAAAAAAAACUCCUGGAAUGUGAGAGUUUAGCUAUACCACUCAGUACACAAAAGUUCAUUGCAGGACUCACAGACUUCUACUAUAUAGAUUGAAUAAGAAAGAGCUGAUCCCUUGAAAAUAUAAAAUCUUUGCACUCGUGAACAUGAACCCUCACUCCAGUUCGCUAGUUGUCUGUCAUCAGAAUGUUAUAGUUUUUUUUUAUUAUUUUCAUGCAGAUCUAGAUAAACAUUUCAUUGGGAGAGUUGUUAUGUCAAUGGUAAUAUCUUUUUAAUUACAAAUUCUACUGCUAAUUGCUGAUUAACCUUAUUCCAUGCAACUUUUCAGUAGUUCCUUAUUAGUGUCAACAGUUCCUGUGGCUUUUUCAGGUUGUCUGAUUAAAUGUGUCUGUUAUCCACAAAGGUAACAAUUCUACUUCCUUUCUUGAAAAUUUGUAUACCUUCUUUCUCAUCGUUAUGAUUUAUUUCCUCAUUAAUAAUAAUGUUAACUUUAAGCAUUUUGUAGAUGUUCCUUAUAAAGUUAGGAGCAUUCUACUCUUACUAGUAUAGAUAGCUCACCUGAAAUAAACAUUGGCUAUUGUUAAAUUCUAUUUUUGUAUCUCCUGAUAUAAUCAUAAUUGUUCUUCCUCUCUUGUUACACUAAUUGUUUUUCAAGUGUUGAAUAAACUUCACACAUGUGAUAAAUUCAAGUUGAUCAUGAAGUACAACUCUUUGCAUACACAGUUAAUAUAAUAUCAUAAUGUGUUGUUGUUAAUGUUUUGUGCAUUGCUUAUCUGAACAAUUGUUUUAUAGUUUUUCUUUUUGGCAGCCCUUUGUCCAGUUUUGAUUUUAGAAAACUGUUAUGUCUGUGGAGUAAGAGAAUAUUUCCAUUGCCUUUAUUUUCUGCAAGGUAUUCAGUGAAUAGAUACAACUUCUACUUAAAAUGUUUGGUAGAUGACAAUCAGGGAGUCUGCAUGAACCCAAUCUAGGCCCUCUACAUACAUGUUAUAGUUGUACAACCUAGAUUCUUUUUCAGGGACUCCUAACAAAGGGAUCCAGGGAUGAUUCUGAUGCUUUUACCUGUUUAGGGGAUCCUUGUCUUCCUACUAGGUUGUCUCAUCUAGCCUUAAUAGGGGGGGAAGUGCCUAGUCCUCUUGCAAGUUGAUAUGGUAUAUUCUAUUGAUAACCCUGGGAGCCCUGCCCUUUGCUGAAGGGAAAUAGAGGAGGAGUAUAUGGGGAUGAAUUUGUAAGGGGCAUAGAAGAGGUGAGGGGCAGAGGGAAGGAGAAGAAACUGGUUUUAUCUUUCAGGGAAUUGUUAGGUUUUAUGUAGGUCACUGUUUCUCAACCUUUCUAAUGCUAUGACUGUUUAAACAGUUCCUCAUGUUGGGGUAACCCCAGUCAUAAAGCUAUUUUUGUUGCUACUUCAUAACUGUAAUUUUUCUAUCAUUAUAAAUUGCAAUGUAAAUACUUUUGAUAAUAGAGGUUUGCCAGAGUGGUCAUGACUCAUAGAUUAAGAAAUGAUCUAGAUUAUCAAAUUUGUGGGGACAUAGUGAUUCAUAUCCUUUUUUUACCCUCUAAUGUCUGUGCUAUUUUUAAUGAUGUCUCAUCUCUUAUACCUUAUAUUUUCACUUCUUUUCUUAUUUGUUGAAAGACUGAUCAAUAUGAUCGAUCCUUUCAAAGAACAAGCUUUUGAGUUUUAUCAAGUUUCCCUGCUGAUAUUCAUUUUUUAAUUUAAUUGAUCUCGGCCCUAUUUUUAAAAUUAUAUUAUUCUCACUUUAGAUCUAAUUUUUCUAUAUGGAGUUUCCUGUAGGUGAAUCUCCUAAAACUUCCUUCUACUUCUUACUGCUUAAAUUUAUUUUUAAAGUGUUCACAUCACAUUUGUAAUUAUAUAUACAUAUUUUAUUUUUAUUUAUUUCAGUUUUAUUUAAAACCUUUUAAACUUCUUUUGACAUUUAUUGAGUCAUGGAUUAGUUAGAAUUGUGUUAAUAUCAAAGUUUAAUUUUUAUACAUGUUAGUGGGUGAAUUUUAUUUGGAUUCUCUAUGGCAAGAUAUCAUACAGUCUAUAUUUCUACAAAUUUCAAGGUGUGCUUUCUGACCCAGAAACUGUUAUGUUGGUAAAUGCUGCCUGUGAGCCCAAGAAAUAUGUUGCCUGUUGCUUUUGAAUGAACUUUCUAUUCAUGCUCACUAUUGAUGAUUUUGUUAAAUUCAACUCUGCCUUAUAAUUUUCUGCAUGUUGGUACAUUUCAAGAAUGGGUUAGUUAUUUCCUCAUACAGGCUUAUCAGCUUGUACCUUGCACAUCGGGUCCUCUAUUGCUGGGCAUGUACGAUAUACCCUUUAAAGGUUUUUAUGUCAUUUCUUAUGCUAUAACGUCCUCUGCUCUGAAGACUGUUCUUUCUGUAGCCAUUUGUGUUUUAUUUUGAUCGCUGUUAGCAUGGCAUAUCUCUCACCAGAAUUUCACUUUUUUCUUGUGAUCUUAAUAUUCAAAGAAGGUACUUAUAGACAACAAUAGUUGGGCCAUUUCUCUCUAGUCCCAACUAUUCUUGCCAUUUGAUUAGUGCACAUAGUCUAUCAGUGGUUACUGUUGCAGUUGGACUAGAGAUGCCAUAUUUCUUCUGUCCUGUUGUGGUCCCUGGGUGUCAUUGCUGCUUUGAAUUGAGCAUUUUAUAUGACACAGUUUUCUCUUCUUUCUUAGCAUGUCAACUUUACUUCUUUAGAGUACUAUGUUUGCUAGUUGCCUAGACUUGCGUUGUACAUAUACAUUUAUAAUUGAUCCAAGUUCACUUCCCAAUAUACUUCCUGCGUGACAUAAGUACUUUAUGAUAAAAAUAUCCCUAAUUUCCUCUGUUAUAUCACUUAUAUUAUUGAUUUAUUCAUUUAAGUUAUCUAAAUUUACACAAAACUUAUUUUAUGUAUGGGAAACAACUGUAUUUGUAUAUUGAAUACAUUGUUGCUAUUAUUUUGAAUAAACUUAAGAAAAGAAAAAGUAAAAUCUUUAUUUUAUCAUCAUGUAUUAAUUCUUGGUUGCUUUCUAGUUUUGUAUAGAUCUGAGUUCCUGGCCUGUAGCACAUCACAUUGUUUUCCUCUUAAAAACUCAGUAUUUCUUUCUUGCUAGGCAAGCAAUUCAGUUUUUGAGAGAGUCUUUAGUUCUCCUUGACCUUUCCACACAAUUCUAGGUAGGCGGUCUUUUCUUUCAACAAUUUCUAUAUUUCAUACUAGCAACUACUCACUUGGACAGCUUCUGUCUGUUGUUACUUUUGCUCUUCUGUAGGGGAGGUGUGCCCCCCCCCCACUGUGACUUGUGUCUCCCAGGAGCUUUGAAUUCUUACCUUUUUUACUCACCCUGGUGCCCUGGCUGUUGGAUCUGGGCUUAUAACCCAGCUGGGUAGGUAAAAAAAAAGGGGAUUUCUGCUCCAUAGGUUAUGAGUCUCUGGUCAUCCCCUGUUUUGCCAGUUGGGGGACAGGUCUUUGUUGUGAUUUCAGACCUCAGAUGGAUCAAAGAAUUAUUGAUAUUUCUAUUUGCUCAGCUGUUUAACUUGUGAGAGCAGAGUGAUGACUGCCAAAUUAAUACCAGUGCUAUCAUCGACCUUUAGAUAUUCCUACCAAUUUUGGAAGAAGUAUGAUGCUUGGAUUUUGGUGCUUUCUGGCUUUUACAUUCUUAUUUAAAAGAAAAUUAUGCAUUUAUAAAUCUAUAAAGAUGUAAAUCUGCUAAAAGUGGGCUUUUCCAGUGUGUAGGUGAGGAAGGGACCUAGGGCCUCUCAAUUCCUCUCCGUAUCAGUGGCCCCAACCUAAAUCUAUGGAGCCUCUGUUUGUCAGCUGCACUGGUCUUUUCCACAUGGAGAUGCAGCAGUGAUUUUUAAUAUCUUUUCCAGCGUGGUAUGAAAAACCUCUUGGUAUCCGAACAGUGAGGAGUGGUUCUCUUAGUGGUCAAUCAAGGGAAGGAAGAACAACUCCCUUUUCAGCAGGGGCUUCAGAUAUUUGCCCUGUAGUUGACACUGGGUAGGAGGAUUAUGCAACUGAAAUCAGGAAGAAACCUGUUUGCUGAGCAAAAUGACCAUUUAACUUGUCUUCUUUAAAUGCUUCUGCACAGGCAGGGUGUAUUUCGUUAACCCGGCCUAAGGGGAUGUUUUAAAGGUGGAGAAUUGCCCUGGUGAUGAACAAAUAUGAGACAUAAACUUCCAGCGGGGCUGGGUUGCCUGCUGACUGUGAUUUCCUGAUGAUCUAUAACAAUGGUUAUUCACUAACAGCUGGCGCUUGUCUCCCUCGGACAAAGCCACUGGGAAGAGCAGGCUUUCUGAUUGGUGAACCAGAACCGUUUCCUUGGUAACCGUUAAGUAGCACGUGUUUUAUUGUCUCCAACUGCUUUUCCUAGGGUAUUUGCAGGUGGUGGGAGAUGCUUUCUUAAAAAGGGGUCAUAACCUCAUGAACUUUUAGAUGUUGCAACAAAUUGGGGAACAAAACAUAUUUUUCUUUCCCAAUAUAGUAAAUUUUAUUACAUAGAACUUUCAAGACAAAUGCCACCCAUUUUUCCCAUUAUUUCCCAGAUGUUAUCAAUUUUAAAGUCAGAGUUUCAUUUUAAAAUCAUGACCUAUAGGAAGUUAAUAUUAAUUGUCUGCAUGUUCUGAGAAUAUUACUUUUUUACGGGAAGAGAACAUGAUGUCCUGAGUAUAUACUUUGCCAUGAAAUGUGAGGUAAACCAUAUAAUGUGAGUAUAAUUUUUAGUAGGGCUUGAAAAAUUUGUAUCUUUUACCUCUUCAUUAACCAGUGAUUUUUUUUCUAUAUUGCUAGUUUCUGUAUUCAUUCAGAAUGUUCUAGAACACAUACAAUGUUGCUAUAAACAAAAUGACUGGCUCAACUACAAGAAUCUCCCCCAACAUUUAUUUGACUUCUUUUUGGAAGGUCUGCCUAAUUUCCAGAUGGAGAGCUCCCUCUUCUGUUUGGUUUGCAGAAUUUGGGUCUUUUGAAAACAUGGUACGCGGAUGCAGAAUUUUGUCACUGAAUAUUCUACCUAGGCUGAAGCUGAAUGGAGUUGCUGCUGGCAAAAAGGGACUGUUGCCUUCCUGUCAGCUGUGGACUUUUUUCUCAAGUUUAUGGUCGUAGAUGGAAUUUCAAAAGUACAUUUUUCCCAUAGUCACAAUGAGAAGAAACCCUUGAAAAAGGAACUCCUCAAAAGUGAAAAGUAAAGUUUGAUUCAUGCAGCAACGUUUACUGAGCACCUGCCCUCAGAUGAAAUCAUGGAAACACUGAAUGGGGCUUUAAAAGUUCUUCGUUUUUCAAUUUAAAAAUUUUCUAGCAUUCACUUUAAAAGUGUAUGUGGAAAAGGAAAGUCUUUGAAAAUGAAAACUUUUCUAUUUUGUCCUCAAAGUAAUUAAGUACACUAAACGUCAUAAUAUCUAAUCAUUUCCCCAAAUAACACUUUUUAAGUCAUGGGCUAAAUAUUUGUGGAGGAAAUGUGACCUGCUACUAGGAACAAACUAGCGAAUUUGAUUGCUCAGGCCAACAUCACAAGACACAGGCAAACCACCCCUCUGUUAGCUACCAAAAGUAGCAACUGAAAAAAAGAUUUGUAAUGUUAUGGGGUGAAAUUCUGCCUGGUCAUUUUUGAAGUUCUACUUUAAUAUUUCAGUUUAAACUUUCUUCAUCCUUUUGAAAUAAUAGUCAUGGGUUUUGGUUUAAUUAUAGGAGGCAUGGAAUAAUUAACAUAAGCAUUGAAAUAUGAACAUCGACUUCAUCAAGAUUGCUACCUUGCCUUUAAUUUUUUUCAUGAAAAAGCCUGGGCUUAUACAUCUAUCAACAAGCUUUUAAAAUAUAAUCCCAGAAGAUCAACAAAGUGUUGAAAUCACAAAGCACAGAUAACAGAAAACAGUGGACUUACCGAAGAACACAGUUGCUAAGAGUGUGUGACAAAAGGCACAUUUUGGUGACAGCCAGUUUGCUGGUUUUCGGCCUCAGAUUCUUUCUGUGAGCCCUUGACAUAGGUGAAACAAAAAGGGCGUGGGCAUCAAUGUUUAGAGUUAGGAAAGGUGAAAAACAGGCCCUGACAGCACAUCUAAGCACAUGCGUGUACUUAAUAAAUGCAUUUCCCUUUUUAUUCUCAAUAUUUCUAAAAGAGCAUCCACCGCCCUAAGGUUUCUUAACCAAAAUAUUUUACACCAUUGAGUCAGACAUUGUUAAGUGCACUUUAAACAACUUUACUAUUAGCUACUCACUAAAAGUGAAUCUUUGGUGACUUUGAAUUGUUUUCAAGUCAUGAAACCUUAGGGAAAAACUAAAGAGAGACAGACCAGAUCACAGCCUACCUUUUUCAGCCCCGAGAACUCUCUUUCCAAGUAGUUUCUUAAAUAGUGAGGCUACAUCAGAGCUCUUACUCCCUCUGCUUGGAAGUUACUAGAUCAGCAGAAAGACCAACAAUAAUGGCACAUGAAGUCUAAGUUUUGUAUAGGAAACAGACAAGCAGUCUAUACUUGGUUAUUCAAUUGAUAGACAGCUAUGUUGACAGCCCUAACCUUGGAAACCACAGGCCCUGCUGAGCUCAGCAGGAGUGAAAUGCUGAGUACCAUCUGUCAAAGCUUUAUUCACCUCCUUGUCCACGCCUCUGCCAUAAGAUGCUAACAAGAGCACUGAACAGUCACUAACUACUGUUAAACUUGAGGGCACUGUCAUGUAGAUAUUGGAGCAAAAUUCCUCUCUCAGAAUCUAAUGAAUUUGAGUGAACUGAAUUGGGAGUUUUUUCUCAACAAGUUAUUUAGACAGAAGUGUAGGUGGAGGAGCCUACACUUAGGCUCAAUAGUCCUAAUCUGACUAAUAUCUCCGAAUAAGAAAAUUGUAUAUCACUCUGCAUGGUUUUGAAAAUGAAUGUUUUGAAAAGACAUGUUUUAAAAACAUGUACAAAACCAACAUUUAUCCUUUCAAAAGAGAGAGAAGAUUCUGAUGAGUUAAAUGAUUCCCAGAAGCAGUCUCAUUCAGGGGGCACACUCUCCCUCUCUUGAGCAAUGUCAAGUCUAAAAAUGCAACAGUCUUAAUCGUCAUCAAAUCAAUGAAAUGAGGUGUGGUAUUGCUCAUGCUGAUCCAGUGCAGAAGACGGAAGUGUAGACACGGGAGGGGUAGAAAGGGGACACCUUUCUCCUAAAGGUGUCAACAAGUGUGCCUGUUCAUUGCAGAGCAGUUUUCUUCCGGAUUGCAUUACAAGCUCUUGCAUCUAUAAUGAAUAAUUAUUGAUUUUUAAAACUCCUUAAAUGUAAAGUACCAUUUUAAUACUUCUUAUAAAUACAGAAUUAUAAGUUAGUAUAAGUUUAGAAUUUAUAAGUUAAGAAAUGAAUGUUACAUGUUAAUCUGGGGUUGGUUUUCAUUUGAUAAUAUUUAUAAUAGUUAAUAUUUUGAUUUCUUUUUAAUUAGCAACCUUGUGUUCAUUGUGUUUUCCUUGCUUUGGCCUCAUUCCAAGUUUAAAUGUAUAUGAAAUACACAGAAGUUAGCAUGUCUGAUGGAUGAAUUGUAACGGGCUACUUUCUUUUUCUUCUUUCUUUAUUUCCUUGUUUGUUUGUUUCUCCUUCCUUCUUUCCUUUCUUCCUUUCUUUCUUCCUUUCUUUCUUUCUUUCUUCCUUUCUUUCUUCCUUCCUUUCUUUCUUUCUUUCUUUCUUUCUUUCUUUCUUUCUUUCUUUCUUUCUUUCGAGAUAGUAUGUCUAUGCAGUCCAGGGUAACCUCAAACAACUCAAAAUCCUCCAGCUAUAGCCUCAUGAGUGCUGGAAUUGUAGGCAUGCAUGGUCUCUCCUGGCCUAUCUUGUUAGUUUUAUAUGAUGGUAAGUCUUCAUCUAUAAAUAUGCAAGUGUACAGAAUAUAUGUGUGCUUUUUAAUACAGAACAGUUUUUGUUCUGUAUUGGAAAGCUGCCCCGAGGAUAUUACCUCUCUAUUCUUGUUUUAUUCUUCUCUCUGUUUUCAGUGAUGUUUAAAUGGUUUGUGUUGUUUUCAUGAAAUGAAGUGCAUUAAGGCUAGGAGACUUGAGGCUGGUUAGAUAAAGGAGAAGUAUCCUAGAGAUGACUGCAUGCAAGAGGGAAGGCUGCAUCACUAGGAGCUCUUUCUUCUGAGUAUUCCUGGUUCAGUCAGUCAUUUCAGUAUUUCUAUGUUUUUUUUUAACAAAAAACUGUGCCAAAAAUUUGAAAUUCACUGCAUCAUUUUAUAAAAUUGAUUACGAACUGUAGACAAAAACAAAUGGAUAUUGGUUUGUAGACUUAUUGUUGUGGAUUGCCCUGAAGCUGUAUGUAUUUUGAUGCUGAUUCUGCUUCCCCAAGAAGGGCUGCGUGGUCAGUACUCAGGACUCAGGUAACUCCUACAGAACCUUCUCCCCAUUUUAACUUGUGAAAUAAAGGCAGGUGAUUGGGCAGGGGAAGGGAAGGUAGCUCUGAAGAGUGGGGGAAAAGGAGAGAGAAGAGGGAGAGGAGAGAGAGGAGGGAGAGGAGAAGGUGGUGGAAGGAAGAUGGAGCUGAAGCACAUGGCCUGGAAAAAUCACAAAUUUUAAGGGAUCUCAUAGCUGGGAAAUAAAGUAGUGUAAUGGUGAAUCUAGGCGUACAGCUUGUAUUCGUAUUAAUUGAGCACAGGCUUAUUUGGGUUGGAGAAUUUACCACAACCUAUGGCAAAUUUCAAUUAUCAAUUAUUCUUGAAGUACUAAUGAAUAUUUACAUCACUUUGACGAUUGUCCCAAACAUUGAUGCAUAUUUAAGAUAUAGUAUGCUGUGAGAAAUAUGUUACCUGUACUAUGGAAUAUCAUUACAAAUAAUAUUGGGAGGUUAAUCCUUUGGUCAAGAAGACAUUGUGAAGAAGUUGUAAUGAAUGCAAUUGUGUUUAUUCAAAUAUGUUUCUCAUUUUUCUGAAUUUGAUUUUUGACAAAAUUCUUAACAUAACAAAUAAUAUUGGGUGGUUAAUCCUUUGGUCAAGAAGACAUUGUGAAGAAGUUGUAAUGAAUGCAAUUGUGUUUAUUAAAAUCUGUUUCUCAUUUUUCUGAAUUUGAUUUUUGACAAAAUUCUUAUAUGUACAUAUUUGAAACUCUUUUAGUGAAUUACCUAUCAAAAAUCUAUUAUUUAGAGUGACAUUUGAAGUUUCCAUAAUUGCUAACUAGGUAAUGUUAUCAAUUUUACAACACAGUAGCUGUGAACAUGUUCACAAAGGCAGCUGGAAGAAAUCUGAGUAUGUACUAUUGAAGUUGUGGCUUUCCCCACUUGUUCCUGUUAUUACAUACUACAUAGGCUGACCUCACUCAGGAAGCUGCUGAUGCUAGUAGGCAGAGUCCUCACUCUGUGAGCAUCCCUCCCACAGCAUGCUGAUGCCUGCGUUCCUUUCGAUUAGGGUCAAGAUACAACUUCCACCACAUGGAAAGAGGAAAGAUUCGAAGGCAAGUGGCCUGGGGAGAGAGGGCACAUGAACUUAAGUGGCUCUAACUAACAGUUAUUUUGAGGGCAAAUAGAAGCAGAGGUGAGCAAGAGAGGACAUAUCUAGAUAAAGAAGGCUGUGGAGAAGAGGGCAUCUUCAGGGGUUUACCUAAAGAGGCUGACAUGGAGGCUUGCACACAAGCAGCCUUGUUUUGCAUCACAUCUAUAUAGACUGUCUUCAUUUUCAUCCUUACUGUCCUCAUCCCAGAGUCCAACAGAUAUGUGGGGUUGAGAGGUCAUUAUACCCUUCAUUAUAGAGUUGAAGAAACUGAGUUCCAUGCAAGUCUUAUGAACUAUCUAAGCCCUCGAUUUUUCAAAAGCCAUUUUCCAGUAAGACUCAUCUGUGUUCAAGUUCGUCUUGAAAUUUAACUUAACAAAGCAAUAUCCACCCUGACUAUAUAUAAGGUAGCUGAAAACUGAGGGAAGGAAGUAGGUUUUUUCCCCCCAUGUCUCUUGAUAGCUGGGCCAUGCAUUGCCUGCCUAUUGCAGCUUAAAAUACAACAGAUUUCUGUUGCUUCAUGUGUUUGCAACCAAAAUGAUAUUGUCUCAUUUGAAUACCCUACCCAUGUGCCCUUCUACAAGACAAAGCAGCCUUGUAAGGUGAUAGUCUGGAAGAACUGUCACCCACAGGGAGUCGUUUCAUUCCCUAGUUUGAUAAGGAACUGGAGAAAAACCCUGCCCCAAUCCUUUGGAUACAUUCUACUUUUUCUUUGUAAACUAUAUGUAGAACCAUGUAGAUGUAAAACCCAAUAUUUGAUUUAAGAAGCCAACAUAAGAAACCAAGAAGAUGCACAUUAUUCCAGGAAGGAUGAAUGUUGCAAACUCUACUCUCCUCAUCUGUAAAUGGGGUGAUGUUACUGACCUCAGAGGAUCAAAUCAACAGUGCUUUGAAGGCUUUAGCAUUGAGUGUGGGUUCAGUAAUUGCCCAGUUUUGUGGAGCUUAGAGCCCCAUUGUCACUUACUCUUUUGGGCCUCAUGAUCGCUCUAUUAGUAUUCAUUCUUUUCAUAAUAUUAACUUUCUUUGAGAGAAAUAAUAAAAUAAUCUGGUAACUACUGAAACAGUCAUUUAUACCCAUUUAUCUGAAUAUUGACCACAAGAGGCUUAUAUAUACUUUCUACCUUUUUGAAAAUACAUACCUAAUUUUAUGUAGUUGCCAUUAUACUUUAUAACUUGCUUUUCCUAUUUGCCAGAAUUUUUAAAUGUGACUGCCAACUCUUCAAAAUUGUAAUUUUAAGUGAAUAAAUAUUUCAUAAUUUAAUUUUCCAUAUGAGAUGGGUAAUAAAUACCUACUUUAUUACUUGUGACAUUUUCUUCAAGCCUAUCUUCUUAUAUUUUCUAAUAUUAGGUAAUAGAUUAGUUUAAAAUUUGUAUAUCUUUGGUAUUUGCUACUGGAAACUAAAUCAUAGUUUUGAUUUUCUAUUUUAUGAAAAUUAUUUUUAUAGUGGACAUUGUAUGAAGCUGCUGUUUUGAAGGAAUAGUUUGUUCAAAGCUAUGGAAGUAAGUGAUGGGAGAACCAAGACUCAAAACCUUCCUUCUAUGCCUGUGAUGUUAAAGAGAAACAAUUCUCAAGAUCCAGAUGUAGAAGAGCCAGUGCUCUCUGACAGUACUGACUGGUCAGCAGCCAGGGUCAGGAAUCUUGGGAUCAGGGAGUUUGAGUACACAUCCUGCAACUACUCAUAUAAUCUUUGACCUUGGUUUUUUUCAACCACGACAUUAAUCCAUUGGUGCUUGCCUGUAUUGGAGUAAGUGGUGGAUUAGAUAAUGCCCUAAGUACUCUUAGUCUCACAGAAGUCUCAAUCUCAGAGCAGAACAAUUUGCUCCAUUCUGAUCUUAAGAACUGAGUUCACUUAAGAAGCUAUGGUGUAGUGCUUCUCAGAUUUGACAGCGUAGGAGUCAUCUGACACAUCUGUUAGUCUUUUUGUAGGCUAAGAUGAGUCUUGGAUGUUGCAUUUCUAUUAGGUGACUCUAUGAAGCUGCUGAUCCAUAUGAGAGGCAGCUACUUGAGGGACAGAGGGUCAUUUGCAUAAGUGGAGCCAACACUAGAGAGUACUGGACUGUUAGAACAGUUCUAAGGUAUGGAUAAAGAGCAAGGAUAAGUAGUCAGGCAGAUAGUGAUGUCUACAAUGCUAGAGUACAUGAGUGUUCUGACUUGUUUGUGGAGGAAGCAUUACCUUAUGGUACCUUAUGGAAGAGUAUGUUAUUUAUUUUCUCUUUGAUUAUGGAAAUCUCACAAACCUAAGAAUGCCUAGCCUAGGAAAGCCCCAGUCUCUGUAUUAUCAUUUCUCAUAUCUGAGCACAAACAUGAAUGACCACUUCUGUUCUUAUUUUAUUUUGUUGGGAUUCAGCCCUAGGUCCCUUGAAAGCUAAGAAAAUUUGCCAGCAGUGCCUUCAAAGUCACAGCACAUCAUUACCAAUCCCUUUAGACAUCUGUUGCAUGAAAAGAAGCAAUAUCCCAUGGUGACUGAGGGCAGGAGGGCAGUGUAAAAAAGAGAUGUCCAGGCUUGUCUCUGUGGAGGCCCUUCCCCUGGAGGCCGGCUGCCUAAAGGCCCCAGCACCUGUUCUUACCCAUUCCUGCUGUCUUCUGUUGUUUUCAGUUGCUGUCAAAGGCAUCCCAGGAUAGGACUGGAACAAACCUUGUUAGGGAAGAAGAAAAGCUGGGUGUGUGGCAGUUGUGCUCACAAGUGUGAAGAUGUUUACAUCCCAGUAGGAACUCUAAUUCCCUUUCAAAUUAAAAGCAGGCUAAUGUCAAAGGAGAUCUGUUGACUUUAGGUACUGUGGCAGAGGGCACUUUUUCGAAGCUCAGGUCACAUAGAUGGUUUAGAUUUAUUCUUUGUUGUUGCUGCUUUAUUUUAAUUGAAGCGUCAGGAGCAGGAUCAGAAGUAGAGGAAGAGUGGUGAGACUUGUAUGAGAUGCAGGUCUUGGCCUUCGUUGUAUGAGAUGCCUGCCUUCCUUGUAUGAGAUGCAUGCCUUCCUUGCCACUGGACUAGCUCUUGGGGAAAUAGUUUGGGAGAGGAGUAAGAAGGGAAGAGUAUGGUAAGCACAUCUAAACUUCUCUCCAAAACUUUCCUGAUAUAUUCCCAUGUGCAUAUACUCUAACUUAAUAAUGCCAGUGUUUGUCUCUUUAAGCAACUUCACAAGCUUCCAAUUUAGGGAAAGUGAACAAAUUUUGGUAGGAGAAAUAAACUUUUAAAAUUGUGUUUGAUCAUGAGCAAUGGGUGAUAAGAUUCUUUUGUCUUUACUUAAAAGCUUUUCUUCUAGUUCCUCAAUCAUCAAAACAUUGGUUUAUAAUUUAUAACUCAGAAAAUAGCUUUCCAAGAUAAGGUGAACUGCUUUUUUAGAGGGUGCUUAGCCAGCAGAUCUUCUAUGACUAAAGGAGAGCUAAUAAAGUAUGCAUUUAAAAAAGAUAAUGUCUGCAAUUAAAAGUGACUUUCUUUAGUUCAAAAUGUCCCUUCAUUUUAAUAGUCUUAGAGAAAAAUGAAGUUAAGGACCAGAUUUCUAAAUAAAAUUAUCCAAAACACAAUCACUCGUCAAAGAUAAUGAAAAUUUUCUGUGUAUAAAAUCAUAUGUUUAUAGACUUAAUUGACUUUUUAUUAUUAUAAAAAUGUUUGAGUUGCAUAGACUUUUGGUACCUCUGAAAAAUCUUAAUAGCAGAAAAAUAAUGCAAAUUUUUUAUUUAAAAGAAGAUAGUUUGUGUUAGAACUAAAUUCAUAGCAAAUAAGUGUAAGAAGAAUUUGAAAAGCUUUUACUUGUUCUACCUUUUUUGACUAAUUGUUAAUUAGGUUUUAUUUAAACUGAUAGUUGUCAGUCUCUCCAGUUCAUUUAGUGAUCCAGUUAUUUAUUUUAAGAUAAAAUAAUGUGUUAUAUAGAUUUUUUUUUUGUAAAGGAAACUGUAGGAUUUCUGCUUGCACCUGGAGUUGACCCUGUGCCACAGCUUUUUGUACCCAUAUUCUGCUGCAAUAAAACUGGUCUCCCAGAAGUGCUGACACACUCAAGAACUCAGCCAGAAUACGGCAAAUAUGUAGGCGAAUGCCAACAGCAAACCACUGAACUGAGAACGGGACCCCCGUUGAAGGAAUCAGAGAAAGGACUAAAAGAGUUUGAAGUGGCUGGAGACCCCAUAUGAACAACAAUGCCAACCAACCAGAGCUUCCAGGGACUAAGCCACUACCCAAAGACUAUACAUGGACUGACCCUGGGCUCAGACCUCAUAGGUAGCAAUGAAUAGCCUAAAGAGCACCAGUGGAAGGGGAAGCCCUUGGUCCUGCCAAGACUAAACUCCCAGUG